rnacentral:misc_RNA from 1 species
UCUGUGGACUGGUUCAGAAUUCAUCGUCGCGCUUGCUUGCUUGGGGGCUUCAUUUUGUGAAUCAAUCAAUCAAAAUACAGCAAAUUAUUUGUUUUAAUCGUCUCUGUUCAUAGUUUUCUGUAUUGUAAAGAAUAUAUGGCCACUAAAUCGGUUUGACCAGAAUGUAAUAGCUACAUGUUACACAUUAAAAUCGAAACAGCAAGGUUCGCAUAGCGAGCCAUUCAUCAAAAAUGAGUAAAAGACGCCGUGCUUCGUCCGGGGCUUCGCGUGGUGCCGAUUUGGAUGAUAGUGACGAUGGCAUCGAGUUGAGCAACCCUGGGCCUCCUCCAUCUACACGGAAAAGGAAGAAGUUGGACCCUGGUGAGAUCUGCCAGCAGCUGUAUGACACAAUCAGGUCAUACAAGAAGGAGGAUGGCACAUUGCUGUGUGACUCCUUCAUCAGGGCUCCGAAGAGACGCCAGGAGCCACAGUACUAUGAAGUUGUUUCACAACCCAUUGAUUUGUUGAGAGUGCAACAAAAGUUAAAAACUGAUACAUACGAGGACAUUGAAGAGUUAUCAGCAGAUAUAGAGCUGCUGGUGAAUAAUGCUAAGGCGUUCUACAAGUCGGAUACCGUGGAAUACCGGGAUGCUAUUGACUUGUGGAAACUCUACUUGCAGACUAAACAGGCGCUUGAAAAUGGUGAAGAUAUCAAGAUGCCGAAACUGUCUCGCAAUGGCUCAUCGAGUAGACGUUCUGAUGUUGCAGAGGACUUGUCAGAAACAUCUACUAAUAACGAAGAGGAUAAUGUUUUUGAAGAAUUGUUCAAUGCUGUAAUGACAGCCAACACUGAUGGCCGACCUCUUUUCCCGGCCUUCCAAUUCUUACCAUCCAAGCGCCGUUACCCAGAGUACUAUAAUGUUAUAGACUCUCCCAUAGACUUGAAGACCAUAGCCCAGAAGAUACAGGGUGGGGAGUACACCAAUGUUUCGGAAUUGGAACGGGAUCUUUUGUUAAUGGUUCGGAACGCCUGCCAUUUUAAUGAGCCAGGCAGCCAGAUUUAUAAGGAUGCUAAGGCCUUGAAGAAGUUUAUACUGCAGGUCAUACAAAUGCGCAAACAAGAGAUCGACCAACACGGCCGAAGUGGACCGGCGAAGACUUCUGAACGUAUCCGAAGUAAGCGGACGUCGAGGGUUGGACCUGUGCCCAAUAGUAAGGCUUUGGCUAUCAUGGAACCACCGGGGUCGGAUACUGAGCCGGAUGUGAAGCAUUCUGAAGACAGCGGUGAUAGUGACGAAGAGAAGAAUGAAAACGAGGAUUCACCACAAUGGAAACUUCUAGAAACCAUCAAGAAUCAUUUAGGACCAAAUGGUCCUAUGUCAGAACCUUUUUGGAAGCUGCCUUCUCGCCGGGCUUAUCCUGAUUACUACAAGGAGAUCAAAAACCCAGUGUCUUUGAACCAGAUUAAAAAUAAAAUAAGAAGGGGCAGCUAUGGUACAUUGUCAGAAGUAGCGGGAGACAUGAACAUUAUGUUCGAAAACGCUAAACAAUACAAUGUACCAUCUUCUAGAUUGUACAAGGAUGCUGUGAAAUUACAGAGAAUAAUGCAACAGCGUGUCCAAGAAUUACUGGACAUCGUACAGAGUUCGUCGAGUGAUGAUGAGAGUCUCUCCUCCGUGAAGAACCAAGCUCAAGUGCAGACAGCCAGGCCGAGGGGUCGGCCCCGUCUAAACCCCCCUGUAUCUACGACUCCAACCCCAUCGAGCACCCCCAUAAAAUCCAACUUACCUCUGAAGAAGAAGCUGCACUACAUAUCUAAACAACUGGUGGAGUUCACCUGUUCUGACGGCAGACAGCCCAUGUUGCUGUUCAUGGAGAAACCCAGCAAGAAACUCUACCCGGAGUACUAUAAUGUGAUCGAUAAGCCUAUCGAUAUGAUCACUAUUGAGGCUAAUAUUAAGAAUGAUCGCUACAACUCCAUAGACGAGAUGGUAUCAGACUUCCGUCUAAUGUUCUCAAACUGCCGCCAAUUCAACGAAGAAGGUUCGAUGAUCUACGAAGACGCCAACCUUCUUGAACGCGUCAUGAACGAGAAACUCAAGGAGGUUAAUAACAGUAGCAGUUUUGAGAGGAAGACUCCUUUGAAGACGUUCAAAGCGGCCCCUAAGGCGAGGCAGUUGUCGCCUUUUGAACAGAAACUGAGGACUUUGUAUGAUGCGAUUAGAGAUUAUAGGGAUCCUAAAGCCAACCGCCAACUAGCCCUAAUCUUCAUGAAGCUACCCAGCAAAACCGAAUACCCAGACUACUACGAACUUAUCAAAAACCCUAUAGACAUGGAGAAAAUCGCCCAUAAACUUAAGAACAAUGUGUAUAGCUCGGUCAAUGAACUCGCUUCGGACUUUAUACUGAUGUUCGAUAAUGCCUGCAAGUAUAAUGAACCGGAUUCGCAGAUAUAUAAAGAUGCGUUGAUUCUACAUAGAGUCUGUUUACAGACUAAGCAGAUGCUGAGGGAGGAUGAUGAUGCAGUGCCCGAUGUACCUGCGGCUGUUCAGGAACUGCUCCUCAAUCUCUUCACCAGCGUCUACAACCAUCAGGAUGAAGAGGGCAGAUGCUACUCAGACAGCAUGGCAGAGUUACCGGAGCACGACGAGGCGGCCAAUGGAGAGAAAGUGCGAGCCAUCUCACUGGACUUGGUCAAGCGACGCCUGGAUAAGGGCUUGUAUAAACGCCUCGAUCACUUCCAGCAGGAUAUGUUCGCUGUUUUUGAAAGAGCCCGUCGCCUCUCCCGUACCGACAGUCAGAUCUUCGAAGACUCCGUAGAGCUCCAGUCCUACUACAUCGACCAAAGAGACCAGCUCUGCCGCGGCACCCUGCAGUCUCCCGCGCUGAACUUCACGAGAGACACCAUGGCCACCAGUGUGGAACUGGUCAAGCAGUGCAAGCUGCUGCAGGAGAACGAGGAAGAGGAUGAGACCAGAUCCAGCACAGACGACUCGCUCCCAUCGGGCGGGGCUCCACUACAGACGGCGUACAACAAAGGCGACUUUGUGUACGUGCAGCCCGACAAGGGACAUAAGGAACCGCAUAUAGUACAAGUCGAGAGGGUCUGGACCAAUAAUGAGGGAGUUCCCUGCAUGUAUUGCACGGCUUAUUAUAGGCCACAAGAAACCUACCACGUCCGUACCCGCAAGUUCCUACAACAAGAGGUGUUCAAGACCGAGUCCCGUCGCGUCGUACCACUCGACCAAGUUGUCGGACAUUGCUACGUUAUGAACGUUAAGGAGUACUUCAAGUUUAGACCAGAAGGUUUCGCCGACAAAGAUGUGUAUGUAUGCGAAAGCCGCUACAACACUAAAAUGCGCUGGUUCAAGAAGAUCAAGGUGUGGGACGGCGUGGAGAAGGAAGCCACUCUUAUACCUAGAGAGGUACCAUUGGAGCCUAACAGAACAGUGUCGGUAUUCCGUGAACGCGUUGAAAAGCAUAAGGACGAGUUAGCUGAACUCGAAGUGUUGGAAAAUGUACACGAGAAGGAAAGACCGGACGUGGUGAUGUACAAUCCCCUGGGCACAGACGACGAGAACACGUACUACGAACAAUACAACACAGUCUGCUCAGGCGUCAUAAAGACUGGCGACUACGUGUACGUGGUGACCGACGGCGGGAAGCAGAUGAUCGCUCAAGUCGACACCAUCUGGGAGACUGGCGACAACAAAUGCUACUUCCGCGGUCCGUUCCUGAUCUUCCCGUCGGAGGUGGCGAACAUAAUAAACAAGAGUAUGUUUGACUUCCAGCCCUUCUACAAGCAAGAGGUGCUUCUAACGACGAUGCACGAUACCAGUCCGUUGGUCGGCAUUGUCGGCAAAUGUGCAGUCUUGGAUUAUGAUGAUUAUCUUAAGUGUCGUCCGACAGAAAUAGCAGAGAACGACAUUUACGUGUGUGAGUCGGUUUACGACGAAUCUAACCGCGUCGCUCGGAAACUGAAAGCGGGACUGCGCAAGUUCGAGCAUACCAAGGAUGUUACUAUUGACGAGAUCUACUUCUUCCCGAAGCCUCUGGGUCCCCCAGCACUGGCGACGGCUCAGGAAGUGCAGUCCACGUCCAGCGCCUUCACGCAGAAGCAGUUCAACCCUCACAGCAACUCCAUGGACUCCAUGGACAGCAAGCCCCAGUUCACGAACCUGAUAAACACCACUAUAGGCAGUCAGGACGUCGAGAUGAUACUAGAAAAUUCUCUCGACGACUCGUCGCUCGCAUCACCUGCAACACCGCUCUCUAUAGGAGGCAACAGCAAUCCCUACAACCCGACAAUGACGGCCACCCCCACACAAGAGCGAACAAGCGCCACCCCCGCCAGCAGCAAGAAGAAGAAGGACGCCAACAAACAGAAGAUUGUCACCGGCUACAUUCUAUACUCCAGUGAGGUUAGAAGAGCUAUCGUGGCGAACAACCCCGAGUCUUCUUUCGACGCCGAUGGAGAACACGUACGAAUGUGCGUGGGAUACCUGCGACUACCAGUUCGAAGACCUGGCGGAUUGUAUGGAGCACUGCAUUGGUGAUGGCGGCAACAUGAUCGGUACAUAUAUCGAGACCAAGAAACCCAAGCUAGAACCGGGUCACGUUCAACAGCACUACCGGGGCACUCUCAACGAGUAUCCCUGCGUGUGGAGGAACUGCGCGAGAGUGCGGAAAGGACAGGCUCCCUUCC